ACCAACGCAAAGGGGAGCCAUUGGCUGAGAGUGGGCAGUUGCCCAGACCCUUCGAACCUGUUCGCUAAUACGAGCGUAGGAAUUGCGGUGUCGAGAAAU
rnacentral:ncRNA from 2 species